GAAUAGUACUAGGGGUGCCGUAAAUGGUCGGCUGAGAUUAAGACACAGGUAGUCUUUGACCCUUUAACCUGAUCUGGAUAAUGCCAGCGUAGGAAAGUGAACGGUAGAAUAC
rnacentral:ncRNA from 2 species